rnacentral:rRNA from 1 species
AGCAGCCGCGGUAAUUCCAGCUCCAAUAGCGUAUAUUAAAGUUGUUGCAGUUAAAAAGCUCGUAGUUGAAUUUCGGGAUCAAUUAGUCGGUCGUACCUCUGGUACGUACUGGUUUUAUUGGUUCCUCCCUUCUGACGAAACAUGAUGUCAUUAAUUUGGUGUCGUGGAGAAUCAGGACUGUUACCUUGAAAAAAUUAGAGUGUUUAUAGCAGGCUAACGCUUGAAUACAUUAGCAUGGAAUAAUGAAAUAGGACGUUCGACCCUAUUUUGUUGGUUUCUAGGAUCGACGUAAUGAUUAAUAGGGAUAGUUGGGGGCAUUAGUAUUCAAUUGUCAGAGGUGAAAUUCUUGGAUUUAUUGAAGACUAACUACUGCGAAAGCAUUUGCCAAGGAUGUUUUCUAUUAAUCAAGAACGAAAGUUAGGGGAGUCGAAGACGAUCAGAUACCGUCGUAGUCUUAACCAUAAACUAUGCCGACUAGGGAUCGGAUGAUGUUAAUUUUUUAAUGUACUCAUUCGGCGCC